rnacentral:rRNA from 1 species
UACGUAGGGUGCAAGCGUUGUUCGGAAUCAUUGGGCGUAAAGCGCGUGUAGGUGGCUAGUUAAGUUGGAUGUGAAAUCCCUGGGCUCAACCGAGGAAGUGCAUUCAAAACUGGCUGGCUAGAAGAUGGUAGAGGAAGGUGGAAUUCCAAGUGUAGAGGUGAAAUUCGUAGAUAUUUGGAGGAAUACCGGCGGCGAAGGCGGCCUUCUGGACCAUAACUGACACUGAGAGACGAAAGCCAGGGGAGCAAACGGG